rnacentral:rRNA from 1 species
GAGUUUGAUCGUGGCUCAGAUUGAACGCUGGCGGCAUGCCUUACACAUGCAAGUCGAACGGCAGCACGGGAGCUUGCUCCUGGUGGCGAGUGGCGAACGGGUGAGUAAUGCAUCGGAACGUAUCCUGGAGUGGGGGAUAACGUAGCGAAAGUUACGCUAAUACCGCAUAUUCUGUGAGCAGGAAAGCGGGGGACCUUCGGGCCUCGCGCUCUUGGAGCGGCCGAUGUCGGAUUAGCUAGUUGGUGAGGUAAAGGCUCACCAAGGCGACGAUCCGUAGCAGGUCUGAGAGGAUGAUCUGCCACACUGGAACUGAGACACGGUCCAGACUCCUACGGGAGGCAGCAGUGGGGAAUUUUGGACAAUAGGGGCAACCCUGAUCCAGCCAUGCCGCGUGAGUGAAGAAGGCCUCGG